GUGUCUCACUCAAGCUUUAGGACAGGGAAUGGAUUGUUUGUAUAGACAUAUCAAAGACUCAAAAAUUUAAAGAAAUACAUAUAUAUAUAUAUAUACUUCUCUCUUCUAACAUUUUUAUGCAAAUGAAAAAUCAGAGGCUUUUGGUCUCUCCGUUUGGACUAGGUCAAGCUCAUUUACCCCAGAGGACAAAGAAAAGUUGACUCUUCUAGAUUCCUUCUUUGUACUCUGGCCCACCCAGUGGGGAGAUAAACUCAGAAAAUCCCGACUGAGGAGAAGCGCUCCAGUAACAUUGGAGGGGAAGGAAAAACACAAGUCGAGGUCCCUCCUGCCUUCACCAUCUCCGAGGACACUGCUAGCUGCCAUGGGGCUUUGAUGGUCCUGGGUUCUAGGGCAGGGGAGAUGAGCUCUAGGCAGAACAGUGCUUACUGAUUGUCCUUCCUCAACUCACUGGGCGGUGCAACAUACACCCAGCAGCAGCUCCCCAUUACCCACAGGGCAAGGGAAAGACUUGAUUUACAGCUACAGGAAGAAGAUGGUAGUGAUGAACUGAAAAUCCCUAGAGCAGGCCACACACCCUCUAUGUUCCCAGCUCUUGAGGGGCAGGUGACAGGCCAGAGUGUCACUCUCCUGGUAACAGAGAAGCUAAACGCAGGCCUUGCCAGGCUCAAGUCCAUGUCACUGUUAAGGAAAGGGGAUCAAGAAGGGAUGGCUCUGAGUGGCAACCAGGCUACUGUAAAGGGAGGCACUAUGACCACCCCUAUGGAGUCACGGGGGCCAACGAGGAAGUCGGCGUACCUAGAUAGUUGGUAUAGGCCAAAAACAGAGGUCAUUAAAAUUCCAAGAGGAAGGAUCAGUAGCAGAGGCUGACAUUUGGGGAACAGCCACCUGGCCUCCUCACUAGGACCACUGGGUGCCUCUCACUGACUAGGGAAGAGUUGAGUAAAAUGCACCUUUGGCUUCCCAUCCUUGCCACUCAGCCUCAGCUGCCCCCAGUAGAAUCACCCUUGCUGGAAGGCAGCUGCAGAAAGGACAUCACUGAGAAGAGAAAGGUCAGAGAAAGAAGUCCAAGGACCAGAUCUGGGCCUGCUGCCCAAAUAAAUCUCUCCCCUUGCCAGUUUCCCCCCUUCCACCUCAGUACUUCCUGCCAAGCUAAAAGGGACAAGCCCAUGGGCUCCUGCCUCUGAAAUUGUGCCAAUCCACCCCCACCGAUCAGACUGAAACAGGCAGAUGCCUGGCAUACCAAGGACCAGCUAAGGUGACUGUUCAUCACAUUCAGGGGACAGAGAGCACCUCAGACCUCCCCUCUGGUUCUUCCCCUACCCAUCUGGGUCCUAGCAGACUCCUACUUCUUGUCCCCUGCAUGGAGCACCUGGCAGAACUGGAAGGCAGGAGGUGGGUAGUAAGUUGAGGCACAGGAAGUCUAUCCCCCACUGCACCUUUUGUGCUUUGGAAUUCAACAGUCCCACUCCUACCCUCAGCCUGUGGAAGCCUGUGGGAAUAAGUGACUUGUCCACCUCCAAGAACUAAGAAAAGGAGCAAACUGGAUUAGGGAGACAGACUGGUCCCAGCUAUGGACUGGCUACCAGAGAUUGAUGCUGCCGUCAUGUAAACAGGCUCUUGGAAUGUGGCUUCACAGGCUCUGGAGGUUGGACAUGUAGCCACUUUGCAAAAGUGCUUUGAUUCUGGACUACAGUAUGCAUGAUUUGGACAUUUAAAAAAAGAGAAAGAAAAGGGGCUUUGCACCUGCCUGUGGCUUUGUGGCCAGCAGGGGGCAGAGCCACACACUCCCACCAGCUACCUCCUUUAAGAUGAGGCUAAGACCAAGACAAGCAGCAGCUGCUGGAGGUGAAUCCUUCCAGGAAAAGGCAUGAGAGCUGGGUGGUUUGGAGGACGGGGCAACACCAGGCUUGCAUAAAUAUCAAAGGCCGUGGAGGUUAAGGCUGCAGGCGUCCUCUCUUAGGUUGUUUCUGCCAUGUCCUCUGGUCCUUAGAGCUGCUCAGGUCCCUGAGAGAUUGUAUUCCUAGGAUGGGUCAGCAGUGCCAGCAAGUGUGGUGGUCAGACCAGCUCUUUCCGUGGCUCUGUAGGGGAAAUGGACACUUAGCAACAGGCCUCCCAGCUUGGUUCUGGCACUAAGAACCCAAGGCACAUUCUCACCCAAACUUGUCCUAUCCCCUUCAGUGACAUGACACCAACAGCACUGAGCUGGACACUUAAGGGACUGUAGCAUAGAUGUCACUGGCCACGCUUCAUAGCACAACAAGAACAGGAGGUAAAGUGAUAAAGUUGGAAUACACGGAGUAGGUCUGAUGCCAAAGCCCUGAUGCUCAUUCCUUCCACUAGCUCAGGGAUAGGUCUGCCUGUCCCAGGCAUCAGACCAAAGUCAAAAUUCCAAGAGGAAAUCCCCAGUGGUGGGACUCUGGAUACUUAUUUCCCACCAUCAGUGUUAGGACCCAUGCCCACCGCUAACCACUGUACCUGAGCCUGGGGGACUCAUCUCCUCUGGGCCUGCCAGCUGCGUACCUCCAUUCUCGGUCAGCUCCCCCUUAGUCCUGUCCACGGCAUGAGGGAGCCCGUUGGUGGGAGGAGCAGUAAGGGGCUCAGACUGGGAAAAACUGGGGGAAGCAGGUGGGGGAACUCCCACAGAGGGCUUUCGGGCCACAGGUGGGGGGAGCCUUAGGUGGCUUCUUCACGGCCUGAGGUGGAUGCUGCUCUGAGAUGCUGCGAAGUUCAGCCACCAGAUUUCGAUGGAGGUCAGCCUGGGCCUCAGGGGACACAGGUCGCCUCGAUGUGCAGCUUCUUAGUGCCCUUGGAGAAGAUGAAGCUGGCCGUGGAGGCAGGGGUCUGGGGAGACCUCGGCUGUGCCUCAGGUGCUCCAUUCACCUGGGGACUUCUGAGGCCCUCACUGGCAGCCAGGCUGGAGGCCUUAAGUCGGACGGCAGAAUGGAGCCCUGAAGAGGGUGCAGACACGGGACUGGCCCGCCCUGAUAGGGCCCUUCGGAGUGGCUUCUGGGGGGCUGAUGGCCCUGAUGGUGGGGUCAGAGCCCCUGUGGGAGUGCCCACAGAGCGCAGCCGCACCAUCUGCAGGAGUGAGGGCGUGACCAGAGGCACACCUGCAUCCUCCCUGGAAGUCCCACUGCUCUUGCUGCUGCCCACUGGCUCCUUCUCCUGAGGGGGCUUGGCCAGAAGCUGGGGGACAGAACUGGCUGGAGGUGGAACUGGUGGAGCCAGAGGCGGCUCUGGGGUACCCUGGGGCUGGCUCUGGACAGAGACAGCAGCUGAAAGGGAAGCAGCCAAAGAGCUGACAGGCUCUGGGGGCUCCAAAGGGCCUGCAGGCUCAGAGCCAGCCAGAGAGAAAAAGGCCUCCUCGGGUGGGGGGAAGUCUGCCAUGGACAGGUCCUGCUCCUCAGAUGCGGGAGGUGGGGGUGGGGGCCAGUUGGGGUCUAAGAGGGGCUCCUCAGCAGUCUCUGGGACUGGUGGGGCCUCCUCAACCACCUCCAGCUUCUUACUAGGGGGUGGUGGUGGGUGAUAGGAUGGAGGUGGGGAUGGCGGGGGUGACUGGUCUUUGGGGACAAUAGGAAACUCCUGGGGUGGGGUCAGGGAUGUCUGGGGAAGCAGGAGGGGACUCAGGACUGGCAUCAGUGGUAGAGAUGGGCCCAGGAACCAUGGGAGGGGCAACCAGAGCAGAGGCAGCUUGGUUUGGGGUCUUGGGUUUAGAGGGAGGUGGGGAGAAGGGGGCUGGCACCUUGGGAUGAGGCGGUAUGAUAAACCUAUCACCUAUGGAGGUUGACAUAUGUAGACCAGAGCGCUCUGAGGGCGUAGGAUCAGAGGAUGAAGAACACAGAGAUGUAAGUGAAGAGGACACAGAGGUUCCAGGAGAUCGAAGGGAUGUGACACGCUCUGGUUUAGGAGGCUGGGCCUUGCCUGGGGAGGCCGGGGUACCUGCCAGACCCUUGGGAGGGAGGGGUGGGGGGUACCACUUUGGCUCGAGUAUCCACUGGAGGGUGAAAGUGUCCGUUCUGGGGAGCGUGGGGGGCGCCGGGAACCACUGGGGAGACAAGCCAGGCACCCAGCCACCUGCUGAGUUGGGUGGACAGGGCGCUGCCCCGACCCCUUUCUGACCCACCUGUAGUGGGUGGCCGGGGCAACUGUGGCUGCUGCUUCCGCUCGGGCUUGGGAGGCAACCCUAAGGGCCCAUCAGGUGCUGCUGAGCCCCGCUGAUGGAGGGAGUAGGUCCGGCGGGGCGGUGGCGGAGGGCGCUUCAUCUUUCGUAGGGACACACUCCGGCCAGACAACUGCCCACUGCUCCGAAUGCUGACUGUGUCUGAGGCUUCGGCAGUGCUACCCCCACUAGGGGAGCCCCUCCCACUGCCCCCUUGAGAUGGCGGUGCCACACUAUUGUUAGUCACAGAGCUCUCUGGCUGGCCCUCAGAGCCCCCCCUUAGAGGAGAGGGUGGAACCGUCAGACACGAUGGUAUCGGACGAUUGAGAGUGGCUCCAGGUGUCACUGGAGGAAGAAGGAUGGCGGCUGCUGGGGCCGGGGGCUGGAGGCUGAGGAGAAGCGGCCCAGUGAACGGAUGGAGGCUGGGCUGGCUGAGGCCAAGCUGCAGCGGCCCAGGGCCACCACAUCCACUGUGGGUGGCAGCACAGCAUGUGGGAUCAGCUUCGACAAGUAGGUGGCCUGGGGUGAGAUGGACAUGGCUGGGCUCAGGGGCUCUGGAGGCCCAGCCCCUCCUGUCAGUCCUGGCACUGCUAGGGACAUGGGCCGGGUCAGUGGUGGGGGCCGGGCCCCAGUGGACCGGCCAACAAGUGUGUCAUCACGGUAGACACGGUCAAUGUGACGUUGCAGCAUGGCCUCUGAAUCCGCACCAGCCUCUGCUUCUGCUUCCAGGGCCUGGAGGGACACCCGGACCCCUGUCCCUAAGGCCAGGCCAGCUGGAUGGCCAUCCACCGUGGGGAUGCGGACAGCAGCCCAUGGACCAGGAGGCCGAGAAGUACCUGGUGCCUCAGGCUCAUUACGCAGGCC
ensembl:lncRNA